AAUGGGCGCAAGCCUGAACCAGCCAUGCCGCGUGCAGGAAGACGGCUCUAUGAGUUGUAAACUGCUUUUGUACUAGGGUAAUUUGCGGUACGUGUACCGUAUUGAAAGUAUAGUACGAAUAAGGAUCGGCUAACUCCGUGCCAGCAGCCGCGGUAAUACGGAGGAUCCAAGCGUUAUCCGGAUUUAUUGGGUUUAAAGGGUGCGUAGGCGGGAUGCCAAGUCAGCGGUCAAAUACGGGGGCUCAACCUGCGUCCGCCGUUGAAACUGGCGUUCUUGAGUGGGCGAGAAGUACGCGGAAUGCGUGGUGUAGCGGUGAAAUGCAUAGAUAUCACGCAGAACCCCGAUUGCGAAGGCAGCGUACCGGCGCCCUACUGACGCUGAAGCACGAAAGCGUGGGUAUCGAACAGG
rnacentral:rRNA from 1 species